rnacentral:rRNA from 1 species
GCAUAUCAAUAAGCGGAGGAAAAGAAACCAACAGGGAUUGCUCUAGUAACGGCGAGUGAAGCAGCAAUAGCUCAAAUUUGAAAUCUGGCGUCUUCGACGUCCGAGUUGUAAUUUGUAGAGGAUGCUUCUGAGUAACCACCGACCUAAGUUCCUUGGAACAGGACGUCAUAGAGGGUGAGAAUCCCGUAUGCGGUCGGAAAGGUGCUCUAUACGUAGCUCCUUCGACGAGUCGAGUUGUUUGGGAAUGCAGCUCUAAAUGGGAGGUAAAUUUCUUCUAAAGCUAAAUAUUGGCCAGAGACCGAUAGCGCACAAGUAGAGUGAUCGAAAGAUGAAAAGCACUUUGGAAAGAGAGUUAAAAAGCACGUGAAAUUGUUAAAAGGGAAGGGAUUGCAACCAGACUUGCUCGCGGUGUUCCGCCGGUCUUCUGACCGGUCUACUCGCCGCGUUGCAGGCCAGCAUCGUCUGGUGCCGCUGGAUAAGACUUGAGGAAUGUAGCUCCCUCGGGAGUGUUAUAGCCUCUUGUGAUGCAGCGAGCGCCGGGCGAGGUCCGCGCUUCGGCUAGGAUGCUGGCGUAAUGGUCGUAAUCCGCCCGUCUUGAAACACGGACCAAGGAGUCUAACAUCUAUGCGAGUGUUCGGGUGUCAAACCCCUACGCGUAAUGAAAGUGAACGGAGGUGAGAACCGCAAGGUGCAUCAUCGACCGAUCCUGAUGUCUUCGGAUGGAUUUGAGUAAGAGCAUAGCUGUUGGGACCCGAAAGAUGGUGAACUAUGCCUGAAUAGGGUGAAGCCAGAGGAAACUCUGGUGGAGGCUCGCAGCGGUUCUGACGUGCAAAUCGAUCGUCAAAUUUGGGUAUAGGGGCGAAAGACUAAUCGAACCAUCUAGUAGCUGGUUCCUGCG